rnacentral:ncRNA from 1 species
UAUCUGGUUGAUCCUGCCAGUAGUCAUAUGCUUGUCUCAAAGAUUAAGCCAUGCAUGUCUAAGUAUAAGCACUCGUACUGUGAAACUGCGAAUGGCUCAUUAAAUCAGUUAUCGUUUAUUUGAUUGUACCUUUACUACUUGGAUAACCGUGGUAAUUCUAGAGCUAAUACAUGCGAAAAGUCCCGACUUCU